rnacentral:rRNA from 1 species
UUGACGGGGGCUCACACAAGCGGUGGAGCAUGUGGCUUAAUUCGAGGCAACGGGAAGAACCUUAUCCUGGGUUUGACAUGUACGGAUUAACCCUGUAAAAGCAGGGCCACGCUCGCAAGAGUGGAACGUGCACAGGUGCUGCAUGGCUGUCGUCAGCUCGUGUCGUGAGAUGUCGCGUUAAGUCGGUAAACGAGCGAAACCCCUAUCUUUUAGUUGCCAGCGCGUCAUGGCGGGGACUCUAAAGAGACUGCCGGUGUCAAACCGGAGGAAGGCGGGGAUGACGUCAAGUCCUCAUGGCC